rnacentral:rRNA from 1 species
UGGGGAAUUUUGGACAAUGGGGGAAACCCUGAUCCAGCCAUCCCGCGUGUGCGAUGAAGGCCUUCGGGUUGUAAAGCACUUUUGGCAGGAAAGAAACGUCAUGGGUUAAUACCCCGUGAAACUGACGGUACCUGCAGAAUAAGCACCGGCUAACUACGUGCCAGCAGCCGCGGUAAUACGUAGGGUGCAAGCGUUAAUCGGAAUUACUGGGCGUAAAGCGUGCGCAGGCGGUUCGGAAAGAAAGAUGUGAAAUCCCAGAGCUCAACUUUGGAACUGCAUUUUUAACUACCGGGCUAGAGUGUGUCAGAGGGAGGUGGAAUUCCGCGUGUAGCAGUGAAAGGCGUAGAUAUGCGGAGGAACACCGAUGGCGAAGGCAGCCUCCUGGGAUAACACUGACGCUCAUGCACGAAAGCGUGGGGAGCAAACAGG